CCCGUAAUUUAUUUGAGUUUUAAUCUUGCGACCGUACUCCCCAGGCGGUCAACUUCACGCGUUAGCUACGUUACUAAGUCAAUGAAGACCCAACAACUAGUUGACAUCGUUUAGGGCGUGGACUACCAGGGUAUCUAAUCCUGUUUGCUCCCCACGCUUUCGUGCAUGAGCGUCAGUAUUGGCCCAGGGGGCUGCCUUCGCCAUCGGUAUUCCUCCACAUCUCUACGCAUUUCACUGCUACACGUGGAAUUCUACCCCCCUCUGCCAUACUCUAGCCCGCCAGUCACAAAUGCAGUUCCCAGGUUAAGCCCGGGGAUUUCACAUCUGUCUUAGCGAACCGCCUGCGCACGCUUUACGCCCAGUAAUUCCGAUUAACGCUUGCACCCUACGUAUUACCGCGGCUGCUGGCACA
rnacentral:rRNA from 1 species